rnacentral:rRNA from 1 species
UACAGUGGCGUACGGGUGAGUAACACGUGGGUAAUCUACCUCUUAGUGAGGAAUAACCCUGGGAAACCGGGGCUAAUACCGCAUAAGCCUGAGAAGGGAAAGCAGAAAUGCGCUGAGAGAGGAGCCCGCGGCCGAUUAGCUAGUUGGUAGGGUAAGAGCCUACCAAGGCAGAGAUCGGUAGCCGGCCUGAGAGGGCACACGGCCACACUGGCACUGAAACACGGGCCAGACUCCUACGGGAGGCAGCAGUGGGGAAUCUUGCACAAUGGGGGAAACCCUGAUGCAGCGACGCCGCGUGAGCGAUGAAGCCCUUCGGGGUGUAAAGCUCUUUCGGCAGGGAAGAUAGUGACGGUACCUGCAGAAGCAGCUGCGGCUAACUACGUGCCAGCAGCCGCGGUAAUACGUAGGCAGCAAGCGUUGUUCGGAGUUACUGGGCGUAAAGGGUGUGUAGGCGGUUCUUUAAGUUUGGUGUGAAAUCUCCCGGCUUAACCGGGAGGGUGCGCCGAAUACUGAGGGACUAGAGUACGGGAGAGGAAAGUGGAAUUCCUGGUGUAGCGGUGAAAUGCGUAGAUAUCAGGAGGAACACCGGUGGUGUAGACGGCUUUCUGGACCGUAACUGACGCUGAGACACGAAAGCGUGGGUAGCAAACAGGAUUAGAUACCCUGGUAGUCCACGCCCUAAACGAUGCAUAUUUGGUGUGGGCAGUUCAUUCUGUCCGUGCCGGAGCUAACGCGUUAAAUAUGCCGCCUGGGGGAGUACAGUCGCAAGGCUGAAACUCAAAGGAAUUGACGGGGGCCCGCACAAGCGGUGGAGCAUGUGGUUCAAUUCGACGCAACGCGAAGAACCUUACCUGGGCUCG